rnacentral:rRNA from 1 species
AUUGAACGCUGGCGGCAGGCCUAACACAUGCAAGUCGAACGAGUGGCGGACGGGUGAGUAAUGUCUGGGAAACUGCCCGAUGGAGGGGGAUAACUACUGGAAACGGUAGCUAAUACCGCAUACCAUCGGAUGUGCCCAGAUGGGAUUAGCUAGUAGGUGGGGUAACGGCUCACCGAGGCGACGAUCCCGAGCUGGUCUGAGAGGAAGACCAGCCACACGGGAACGGAGACACGGUCAAGACUCCUACGGGAGGCAGCAGUGGGGAAUAUUGCACAAUGGGCGCGAGCCUGAUGCAGCCAUGACGCGUGUAUGAAGAAGGCCGUCGGGUUGUAAAGUACUUUCAGCGAGGAGGCGUUACUCGCAGAAGAAACACCGGCUAACUCCGUGCCAGCAGCCGCGGUAAUAC